CUUCCUUCUCCAUCUACCACGGAGAUGGGGACGGUAUAAAAAGGAAUAGAGUUUCUCCGUCCAGCAAUCAUUCGCUCUUGCUUCUCAGCAGCAUCUUCUACUACAUUCCAACGUAAACGAGGACUCUUCCAGAAAAUGAACUUUAUUCGCAUUGUGAUGUUCUUCGCCGUCUGCCUUUCUAUGAUCGCCGUCAUCGUCGCCAAUCCAAUCCCGGCCGACAACGAAGGAGGAGUUGCUAGUGCCAGAGAUCAACGUCAACGAAAAUUGUGUUUAGAUUCUCAAUGCUCCCACAUUCGCUGGACCCGAUAAACCAGUUGUCACGGAACAUAUAAUACCGGACUAUGCCCUGUCAUAAAAAGACGGCCGUUCCUUCGUAUAUUGAGGUUCUCCAAAAAGGAACUGUUAUUGACGGGUUAAACACGUUUUUAUUUUUCUUUCCUAUAUACAUGUAUCUUUAAAUUAAUUGUUUUGUGCACCAUGUCCAUAUAUACGAUGGCUGUAUGUAAAUAAGCCUCAGAACGGUUAAUUUUUUUGUAAUCGGUACGGUGUUUGGUUUACAUUCACGUUUCAAUAUGGCGAUGUUAUUCUUUCACAAAACCUGUUGGAUAUUGUUGGGUGAAUAUCAAUAAAUGAACUAUUUUACACAA